UCUGCGAUAAGCGCCGGUAAGGUGAUAUGAACCGUUAUAACCGGCGAUUUCCGAAUGGGGAAACCCAGUGUGAUUCGUCACACUAUCAUUAACUGAAUCCAUAGGUUAAUGAGGCGAACCGGGGGAACUGAAACAUCUAAGUACCCCGAGGAAAAGAAAUCAACCGAGAUUCCCCCAGUAGCGGCGAGCGAACGGGGAGGAGCCCAGAGCCUGAAUCAGCAUGUGUGUUAGUGGAAGCGUCUGGAAAGGCGCGCGAUACAGGGUGACAGCCCCGUACACAAAAGCGCAUGUGCUGUGAGCUCGAUGAGUAGGGCGGGACACGUGGUAUCCUGUCUGAAUAUGGGGGGACCAUCCUCCAAGGCUAAAUACUCCUGACUGACCGAUAGUGAACCAGUACCGUGAGGGAAAGGCGAAAAGAACCCCGGCGAGGGGAGUGAAAAAGAACCUGAAACCGUGUACGUACAAGCAGUGGGAGCACAGGUUUACCUGUGU
rnacentral:rRNA from 1 species